ensembl:lncRNA
CUGGGAGGCUCCUUCCGUUAGGGACUUCCCCCGCUGGUGGGAGGGAGAGGAGGGGCGGCCCAGCAUGGCCCCGGGUCCGGCCUUACAGUUAUGUCUUUGGUUAGAAAGGAACAGAGACAUAUUUAGUCUCAAGUAAUGGGAGCUUAUUUGGCCAGAAAUGGAGGUGGACUCUAAUGAUAAGAAGUCAGGCCUCAUAAGAAGAGCAAAUGGACCCACGACAUUUGAACACGUUCUUGGUAUCAGGAAUGCCAGCAAAUACUAGAUGCAACAAUGCUUUACUCCCACAGAGAAGAAACGGAACCAAAGCCGCACCAGUCUUGGGCGUCAGUCUCCAGUGGCCAGCAGGCCCCUCUCAGAGGCCAGUGCAGCAGAGCUGGCCCUUGCAUACCCUUCUUGUACUGCCGCAGAAGGGCCUUGUCCCCUUCUCACAGGCGGAGAUAGCAGUGGGGUUGGCCAGGUGCCAUACGCCACAGAUACUCAAGCAGAACAAAGGAAUACACACUGAGCCUGAAACAGGGCAAGAUUAUCCCACAAGCUGAGAAGUUCAGAACAAGUUGCAAGGGCUCUUUAUUUUUAAGGAAGUGUUCCAGGCCCAUGGCCCAUUCUUAGGCAGCUGAGUGGGGGUCAAAAGCAGAUACGCAUGAGCCUGCCUUUUCCAACAUGAAGUGUAUUCAAAACAUCUCUGUAUUUAUUGCAUACAAUUUGUUACUUGUUCUUAACUAAAUUAGUAGAUGAAUUCAACUUUUUAUUUGUUCCUUAAAAGGAAUCCAGAGACACUAACCAAAUUAAGUUGUUUUAUUCCUUCCACAGGAUUAAUUUUUCCUCCCGGAGGGUCAGCGUUUCAUCAGCCCUGUCUUGGAUGAUUGCAAAAUCCCCCUAAUUAUCUGCUGGGUCUCAGUCUCAUCCCAAAUCCAAUCCAUCUUCUAGGUUUAUUUUUCUAAAAUGUAUAUCUGAUUAUUUUCCACUCUCCUAUUGAAAAAUUCAAGGUCCUUUUCAGGACUAUCAUCUGUCACUUCCUUUUGCCAUCCCCGACCCCUGAGCUAUACUUUGCCCUAUAGUCUUACUGGGAGGUUUCCCUGUUUACACUUCCUGCACUGGGCAACAGGCUGUCCUCUAUAGGAUGGCGUUCCUACUCUGCCCAUGAAGAACCCACCACUCUAAUUGAGGUUUUCAUGCCAACCUCUGUCUGUCCAUGUGAUGUAAUCUCAUCAUUUGAAAUGUAAGGAAUUUAGUUAUUUCAUGUGGUAUUUUUCUUACUUCUGCCAAGCUGUUGAUUUAGCUGUCAGAAGCUGGAGGGAAGGGAUAGUUAAGGGACUUUGGGAAUGUCAUAAAUAUACAUGUUGCUAUAUUUAAAAUGGAUAACCAACAAAGACCUAUUGUAGAGCACAUAGAACUCUGUUUAAUACCAGCCUGGGUGGGAUGGGGGUACAGGGGCAUAUGGAUCCAUGUAUAUGUAUGGCUGAGUCCCUUCGUUGUUUGCCUGAAACUGUCACAAUAUUGUUAAUCGACUGUACCUAAUACAAAAUGUCUUUGGUGUUAAAAAUAUAAUAAAAUGCAAAAAUGAAAGGAAUACUGAGUCCAAGCUCUGAGCCACUAUGACACAGCACCUCUAGGGCAGGAUUGUGUUAUGUUCAUUUCUAUCUAGUCCCCUCUGCUGCACACCUCUCUACCAGGGAACCCAGCUCUGCACUGUGCCUGUGGGUGCAGCCGCAGCAGUCUUUUUCCAGAGUCCUUGGUUACCAGCCAUCUGUGCAAGGAGUUUACAGAAAUAUCCAAAA